rnacentral:rRNA from 1 species
GAUGAGCGCUGGCGGCGUGCCUAAUACAUGCAAGUCGAGCGGUAAGGUCCCUUCGGGGAUACACGAGCGGCGGACGGCUGAGUAACACGUAGGAACGUACCCCAAAGUGAGGGAUAACUGCUCGAAAGAGUAGCUAAUACCGCAUGUGAUCCACGGAUUAAAGCUUUAUGCGCUUUGGGAACGGCCUGCGUCCGAUUAGCUUGUUGGUGAGGUAAUAGCUCACCAAGGCGAUGAUCGGUAGCUGGUCUGAGAGGAUGAUCAGCCAGACUGGGACUGAGACACGGCCCAGACUCCUACGGGAGGCAGCAGUAGGGAAUUUUCCACAAUGGGCGAAAGCCUGAUGGAGCAACGCCGCGUGCAGGAUGAGUGCCUUCGGGUUGUAAACUGCUUUUAAAAGUGACGAUUAUGACGGUAACUAUUGAAUAAGGACCAGCUAACUACGUGCCAGCCGCCGCAGUAA